rfam:Camelus ferus unplaced genomic scaffold scaffold1286, whole genome shotgun sequence.
GAGGCUAUAGCUCAAGUGGUAGAGCGCAUGUUUAGCAUACACAAGGUCCUGGGUUCAAUCCCCAGUAUCUCCU